rnacentral:rRNA from 1 species
UACGGAGGGGGCUAGCGUUGUUCGGAAUUACUGGGCGUAAAGCGCACGUAGGCGGCUUUCUAAGUCAGGGGUGAAAUCCUGGAGCUCAACUCCAGAACUGCCUUUGAUACUGGGAAGCUCGAGUCCGGAAGAGGUGAGUGGAACUGCGAGUGUAGAGGUGAAAUUCGUAGAUAUUCGCAAGAACACCAGUGGCGAAGGCGGCUCACUGGUUCGGUACUGACGCUGAGGUGCGAAAGCGUGGGGAGCAAACAGG